rnacentral:tRNA from 1 species
UCAAUUAUGGCUCAGUGGUAGAGUAUCGGUAUGAUGCGCCGAAGGAUAAGGGUUCAAAUCCCGCAAUAGUC